CUGUCUCCACCCGAGACUCAGUGAAAUUGAACUUGCCGUGAAGAUGCGGUGUACCCGUGGCAAGACGGAAAGACCCCGUGAACCUUUACUAUAGCUUGACAGUGAACAUUGAGCCUUAAUGUGUAGGAUAGGUGGGAGACUAAGAAGUGUGUACGCCAGUAUGCAUGGAGUCGACCUUGAAAUACCACCCUUUAAUGUUUGAUGUUCUAACCUAUACUUCUGAAUCGAGGUAAGGGACACUGUCUGGUGGGUAGUUUGACUGGGGCGGUCUCCUCCCAAAGAGUAACGGAGGAGCACGAAGGUUAGCUAAUCCUGGUCGGACAUCAGGAGGUUAGUGCAAUGGCAAAAGCUAGCUUGACUGCGAGAGUGACGGCUCGAGCAGGUACGAAAGUAGGUCAUAGUGAUCCGGUGGUUCUGAAUGGAAGGGCCAUCGCUCAACGGAUAAAAGGUACUCCGGGGAUAACAGGCUGAUACCGCCCAAGAGUUCAUAUCGACGGCGGUGUUUGGCACCUCGAUGUCGGCUCAUCACAUCCUGGGGCUGAAGUAGGUCCCAAGGGUACGGCUGUUCGCCGUUUAAAGUGGUACGCGAGCUGGGUUUAGAACGUCGUGAGACAGUUCGGUCCCUAUCUGCCAUGGGCGUAGGAAAAUUGAGAGGGUUUGCUUCUAGUACGAGAGGACCGAAGUGAACGCACCGCUGGUGUUCGGGUUGUGAUGCCAAUUGCAUUGCCCGGUAGCUACGUGCGGAAUAGAUAAGUGCUGAAAGCAUCUAAGCACGAAACUAGCCUCGAGAUGAGUUUUCCCUGAAGAGAUUCAGUAAGGUCCGUUUGAGACUAAGACGUAGAUAGGUCAGGUGUGUAAGUGUAGUGAUACAUUGAGCUAACUGAUACUAAUGAACCGAGAGUCUUAACCUUACAACUC
rnacentral:rRNA from 1 species